UGGGGAAUAUUGCACAAUGGGGGAAACCCUGAUGCAGCGACGCCGCGUGAGUGAAGAAGCGCCUCGGCGCGUAAAGCUCUGUCAGCAGGAACGACGAUGACGGUACCUGAAGAAGAAGCCCCGGCUAACUACGUGCCAGCAGCCGCGGUAAUACGUAGGGGGCAAGCGUUAUCCGGAUUUACUGGGUGUAAAGGGAGCGUAGACGGCGGGGCAAGUCUGGAGUGAAAGGCCGGGGCCCAACCCCGGGACCGCUCUGGAAACUGCCCGGCUGGAGUGCGGGAGAGGUAAGCGGAAUUCCUAGUG
rnacentral:rRNA from 1 species